CCCCAAGGUUUACCCUCCCAAAGAGAUAAGUCAGGGGGUGAGGUUUCUGCUUGCAAAAGGCCAGCACUGAACUGCUGCUCUCAAUUAGCCUUGAGCCUUUCUUCACAGCUCAUUAACUGGGAGCUGCCUGAAAAAUCAUCGAGGCCAGUUGUUCCCAAAUUCUUGGCAUGGGAUUACUUUUUACAAACAAACUCUUUCUUAGAACUCUAGUCCAUGAGACAGAAAACAUGAAACAUCGACGUGGAUGGUCCCUUGACUCCUCCAAAAUUACAGCCUAGUGGGGACCAUCACGCUAAUUCCACCUGUUGAGAGACCACAGCUCACUGUUGGGGAGAGGAGAUGAAAACUGUGUAUCAGUUCAUGUCCUCUGUUUUUGAAAAGCCAGGAAAACUGAUUUCUUUCAGAGGACUGGCAGGUUUGGAGCUCGGAGAGGCCUGGAAUCACCAAGUUGGAAGAGGCACAGCUGGAUGAGGAACCUGAAGCACAGCAAUGGAUGGAGAGAUUCUGGAUGAACAUGGAUAUUCUGCCCCAAAGGGUUUUCACUCUUUAUAACUAUUUUGUUCAUGCCUGGUACACACCAGGCAUUGCAGGCUCUGGGGACAGCAAUGAGCAAGACAGACCCAGCAGAGCUCACAGUCUGGCAUAAGAGGUAGAUACCCAUUGAAUCAUCACUCAUAUAUUACAUAUGGCAUCCAGUUCUUUAAGAUCCAUGUUGCUUCUUCGGAGACACUGCACGGCUGAGUGACCAACUGUGCUUUCUUAUGCAGCCAUGACCAGCUCAGCCAUGUGCCACCUUGUGCUCGCUUUCUGUCCUUCCUGAUUGGCUUCCAUUUUCCUGCAAUCUGUACCCCACCACGCACCCUGUAAUGAAACAUCGGUACCUAAACUUUGCCUCCAACUCUGUUGUCUAGGCAACCAAGCCUAACAUGAAGACAAGAAAUUGAGAGUUGUUAGAUCAUAACCACUCAAAAACUUAUAGGAGGACUGGCUGUUCCUAAUGUUGGCAAGAAUACAGAGCAAGUAGAACUCUUUGUUCACUGUUGGUGGGAAUGUAAAAUGGAAGAGCCACUUUGGAAAACAGUUUGGAAGUUUCUUAAAAGGUCAAAUAUACACCUACCAUAUGGCCCAAUCUUUGCACUCCGAAGUAUUUAUCCAAGAGAAAAAAAAAUACGUCCACACAAAGACUUGUACAUGAAUGCUUAUAGCAGCUUUAUUUAAAAUAGCCCAAACUGGAAAACAAUCAAAUGUCACUUAGCUGCUGAAGGCAUAGACAAAUGGUGGUGUAUUCAUACAAGGUAAUUCUACUCAGCAAUAAAAAUGAAUCAACUAUUGAUAUAUACCACAUGGGCGAAUUUCAAAAUAAUUAUGCUGAGUGAAUGAAGACAAAGGAAGAGUCCUACUAUUUGAUCCCAUUUACAUAAAUUCUAGAACAUGUACAUUAAUCUACAAUAGCAGAAAGGUCAGGGUUGCCUGGGAACAGUGUGGAGGAGGGAUGGAUUGCAAAGAGGCACAAGGAAGUUUUAGGGCUGAUGAAAAUGUCUGCUAUGUUGAUUUGGUGAUAGUUUCAUGGGAAUGCCUUAACAAAGAUGUAAAAAUGAGAGAAAAAAAUUGCAAAGAAAUCACCAGGCCCAUAAGUGAAUUCAACCAAAUCCUUAGAGAAAUGAUUGAUAACUGCAAUGCUAUCUAAAGCAUUUCAGUAUAUAGAGAAAAAAGAAAAGCUUCAAAAUUUCUUUUAUGAAAUCAGCAUAACUUUGAUACUAAAAACCUGGCAAAAAUAGCACAUUAAUGAAGAGCAUGCUGUUCUGCACACACUUACAGAGUUAUUAUUAACUCUGUAAAUCAACUACACUGCAUCUGACCUAGUUUCAAGAUUUUUCUUUGUCUUUGGUUUCUAGAAGUUUAAUUACAAAGCGCCUUUGUGUGGAUUUCCUUGGGCUUAUCCUGUUUGGGAAAAUUAUCAAUCAGGUAAGACUG